rnacentral:rRNA from 1 species
CAGUAGCCGCGGGAAUACGUAGGGUGCGAGCGUUAAUCGGAAUUACUGGGCGUAAAGCGUGCGCAGGCGGCUAUGCAAGACAGAUGUGAAAUCCCCGGGCUCAACCUGGGAACUGCAUUUGUGACUGCAUGGCUUGAGUACGGUAGAGGGGGAUGGAAUUCCGCGUGUAGCAGUGAAAUGCGUAGAUAUGCGGAGGAACACCGAUGGCGAAGGCAAUCCCCUGGACCUGUACUGACGCUCAUGCACGAAAGCGUGGGGAGCAAACAGGAUUAGAUACCCUCGUAGUCCCUGUCUCUUAUAC